AAAAAAAAAAAAAAAGAGGGGAGGCCAGGCUUGGUGGCUCACGCCUGUAAUCCCAGCACUUUGGGAGGCCGAGGUAGGUGGAUUGCCUGAGGUCAGGAGUUCGAGACCAGCCUGCCUAACAUGGUGAAACCUCAUCUCUACUAAAAAUACAAAAAUCAGGUGGGCGUGGUGGCACACACCUGUAGUCCCAGCUACUUGGGAGGCUGAGGCAGGAGAACUGCUUGAACCUGGGAGUCGGAGGUUUCAGUGAGCCAAGAUCACGCCACUGCACUCCAGCUUGGGACAGAGCAAGACUCCAUCACAAAAAAAAAAAAAAAAAAAAAAAAGGAAAAGGUUCAGUGAAGUUGAAGGUAGAUCAAAGCAUACAAACAAAGAGGGAUGGCAAAAAAAAAAAAAAAAGAAAAAAAGGCAACACAGGAAAUCUCAAAAUCAGGCUGCUUUAAAGAAGCCAAAAGAAAUAUAUAUAUACGGCCGGGCGCGGUGGCUCACGCCUGUAAUCCCAGCACUUUGGGAGGCCAAGGCGGGCGGAUCACGAGGUCAGGAGAUCGAGACCAUCCUGGCUAACACGGUGAAACCCCGUCUCUACUAAAAAUACAAAAAAUUAGCCGGGCGAGGUGGCAGGCGCCUGUAGUCCCAGCUACGCGGGAGGCUGAGACAGGAGAAUGGCGUGAACCCCAGGGGGCGGAGCCUGCAGUGAGCCGAGAUCGCGCCACUGCACUCCAGCCUGGGUGAAAGAGUGAGACUCCGUCUCAAAAAAAAAAAAAAAAAAAGAAAUAUAUAUAUACAACCAAUAUAGUGUGUAUGCACAAUAAGAUACACACAUACACACCAUAUGAUUCCAUUCCCAAGAAAUUGAAAUUCAAGAACAGGCAAACUAACCUCUGAGGAUAGAAAGUAAAACAACGAUUGCCUAAGGAGGGGAUAGGGAUUGAAUGGGAGAGGACAUGAGGAACUUUCUAGGGUGAUGGAAGUGUUCUAUAUCUUGAAUAUAGUGAUGAUUAAUGGAUAUACCCAAUCAUGGAGUCUCAUGAAAGAUACCCUUUUUUUUGAGACAGAGUUUUGCUCUUUUUGCGUAGACUGGAGGGCAAUGGUGCCAUCUGGGCUCACUGCAACCUCUGCCUCCUGGGUUCAAGCGAUUCUUCUGCUUCACCCUCCCGUGUAGCUGGGAUUACAGGCAUGUGCCACCACGCCUGGCUAAUUUUGUAUUUUUAGUAGAGACGGGGUUUCUCCAUGUUGGUCAGGGUGGUCUUGAACUCUCAACCUCAGGUGAUCUGCCUGCCUCGGCCUCCCAAAGUGUUGGGGAUAUAGGCAUGAGCCACUGCACCUGGCCCUCCAAAGAGGAUUUUAGAAGAGAGGAAACUGGUGAAAGGGAUUCUUUAAGCCUGUAUAUGAAGUCCUAGGUGGACCCCUGAUUGACCCAUACAUCAAACUGAAUAGAAUUAACAACAACAACAACAACAAGAAUAAAUAAAAAUAGAAGCAGAAAAUUUUAAAGUGGGCCAGAUGCAGUGGCUCACGCCUGUAAUGCUAGCACUUAGGGAGGCCAAGGCUUGAGCUCAGGAGUUCAAGACCAGCCUAGACAACAUAGCGAGACCAUGUCUCUAAUUUUUAAAAAUAAAAAUAAAUAAAUAAAUAUAUAUAUAUAUAUGCAGAAGCUAUUAUGAAAGAGUCUAUCUGAAAUUAUUUAAAAGAAAAAUACAGCAACCAGAUUUUUUUUUUUUUGAGACCGAGUUUCACUCUUGUUGCCAAGGCCAGAGUGCAAUGGCACAAUCUUGGCUCACUCUAACCUUCGCCUCCCAGGUUCAAGCGAUUCUCCUGCCUCAGCCUCCUGAGUAGCUGGGAUUACAGGCGCCCGCCACCAUGCCCAGCUAAUUUUUUUUGUAAUUUUAGUAGAGAUAGGAUUUCACCAGGUUGGCCAGGCUGGUCUUGAACUCCUGAGCUCAGGUGAUUGUACUGCCUUGGCCUCCCAGUGUUGCGAUUAUAGGCGUGAGCCACGGUGCCCGACUCAGAAUUUUUUUUAAAAAAGGAUGGGCUUGGCCGGGUGCCAUGGCUCACGCCUGUAAUCUCAGCACUUUGGGAGGCCGAGGCGGGCAGAUUGCCUGAGAUUAGGAGUUUGAGACCAGUCUGCCCAACGUGGUGAAGCCCCAUCUCUACUAAAAAUCUAAAAAAAAUUAGCCAGGCAUGGUGGCACACACCUGUAAAGCCAGCUACUCGAGAGGCUGAGGCAGGGGAAUUGCACUCCAGCCUGGGCGACAGAGCGAGACUCCAUCUAAAAAAAAAAAAAAAUGGGUGGACUCAGUAGCAGAGUGAAAAUGACAGCGAAAAGAAUCAGCGAGGACAGGCACAGUGGCUCACACCUGUCAUCCCAGCACUUUGGGAGGCCGAGGUGGGCAGAUCACGAGCUCAAGAGAUCGAGACCAUCCUGGCCAACAUGGUGAAACCCCGUCUCUACUAAAAAUACAAUAAUUAGCUGGGGUGACGCACGCCUGUAGUUCCCCAUACUUGGGAGGCUAAGGCAGGAGAAUCGCUUGAACUCAGGAGGUGGAGGUUGCUGUGAGCCAAGAUCAUGCCACUGCACUCCAGCCUGGUGACAGAGCAAGACUCCGUCUCAAAAAAAGAAUCAGUGAACUUGUUGAAGAUAGACAAAUACAAUAGCACAGUUCUAAAAGAAAAUGCGAAAGAAUAUGCAAAGAUAUUUUAGGACACAGAAAUCACUAACCAUUAAGAAAAACUGGUAAUUUGGAUAUUGUCAAAAUUAAAAUGUUUCUUCAUCUGGCCAGGCACAGUGGCUCACCCCUGUAAUCCCAAUACUUUGGGAGGCCAAGGCAGGCAGAUCACUUGAGGCCAAGAGUUGGAAACAGCCUGGACAACAUGGCGAAACCCCAUCUCUACUAAAAAUACAAAAAAUUAGCCAGGCAGUGUGGUGCACGCCUGUAAUCCCAGCUACUCAGAGUCAGGCGCAGGAAUCACUUGAACUCAGGAGGCAGAGGUUACAUUGUGCUGAGAUCGUGCCACUGCACUCCAGCCUGGGGGAUAGAGUAAAACUCGGUUUCAAAAAAACAAAACAAACCUUUUGUUCAUCAAAGGACACUACGAAGAAAAUGAAUAGCAAGCCAAAAUUGAGAGAAAUGUUCAAAAUACAUGUAUCUGACGAAAGUCUUGUGUCUAAAAUAUGUCUGUGUGUUUACACCAGUAUAUAUUACUCAUAUCUGCAAAUCUGUAAUUAAAAGGCUCACAAUACAAUUUUUUUUUUAAUAUGAUGGAGUUUUGUUCUUGUUGCCCAGGCUGGAGUGCGAUGGCACGAUCUCAGCUCACCGCAACCUCUGCCUCCCGUGUUGAAGCGAUUCUCCUGCCUCAGCUGCCGAGUAGCUGGGAUUACAGGUGUGGCAUCUGGCACGAAACCAAGGACAAGACACUCAGUUCAGCUUUGUGAAAGAGUGACAGAUGAUGGAUAGAGUCAUGCGCCCACCUCUUAUGGAGCUGAGAAAUGAAAUCUGGAUACAGAUAAUCAGUUUGUGGUAGAAAGUACUCACUCAUUUCCAUGAGGGAAGCACAAGUCCUGUGUAGGCCCAGAGAAGGGAAAAAGCCUUUUUGGGCAUAAGAGUGAAUGUUGAGGGUUGGAGACAGGAAUGGUCUGGAGGCUUUGUAGCAUUCAUUUUGUGCCCUAAAGGACAGAUAAUAUUUGCACUUGAGAAGCUGUAGUGAGCCAUGACUGCACCACUGCACUCCAGGCUGGGUGACAGGUCGAGAUCUUGUCUCAAAAAAAAAGAAGAAGAAGAAAGAUUUGGGCAUGAAGAGAUGCCAGGCAUUUCAGACAGAGAAUACAGUAUGAGCAAAAGCACAGAGGUUUUUUGUUUUUUUUUUGUUAGUUUUUUUUUUUUUUUUUGAGACGGAGUAUUUUGCUCUUUUUGCCCAGGCUGGAAUGCAAUGGCACGAUCUCGGCUCACUGCAACCUCCACCUCCUGGGUUCAAGCAGUUCUCCUGCCUCAGCCUCUAGAGGAGCUGGGAUUACAGGUGCACACUACCACGCCCAGCUAAUUUUUGUAUUUUUAGUAGAGAUGGGGUUUCACCAUGUUGGUCAGGCUGGUCUCAAACUCCUGACCUCAGGUGAUUGUUCUGCCUCGGCAUCCCAAAGUGCUGGGAUUACAGGCAUGAGGCACCGCACCCGGCCAGCAUGGAGGUAUCUGAGAGCAACAGUGAUCAGAACCAUUUGGUUCAAGCAGCAGUUUUCAAACAGAAGUGGAGAAGGAAUUAUUAGCAGAUCCCUGACAUCCUCUUCAAUCAGAGUUCCUCCAUUGUGAACUGGUUUACAUGUCAGCAUUAUGGAUUUUGGUGCAAUACCCACCCCCAACAGGAAGAAAAGAAGAAAAAGAAAGAAGAGGCAGGAAGAAGAGAAAGACAAAGAAGAAGAAGGAGGAGGAGGCAGGAGGAGUAGGAGGGAGGAAGAAGGAGGAGGAAGAAAAAAAGGAGGAAGAAGAAAAGAAGAAGGAGGAAGGAAGAAGAAAGAAGAAUUGGGAGGCUGAGGGAGGCAGAUCACAACGUCAGGAGUUCGAGACCAGCCUGGCCAACAUGGUGAAACCCCAUCACUUCUAAAAAUACAAAAAUUAGCUGGGCGUGUUGGCACAUGCCUAUAAUCCCAGCUACUUUGGAGGCUGAGGCAGGAGAAUUGCUUGAACCUGGGAGGCAGAGGUUGCAGAGAGCUCACCACUGCACUCCAGCCUGGGCAACAAGAGCGAGACUCUGUCUUGAAAAACAAAAAAGGAAGGAAAGAAGGAGGAGGAGGAGGAGAAGAAAGAAGAAGCUUUUAUUACUGUUAUUUUUUGAGAUGGAGUCUUGCUCUGUCACCCAGGCUGGAGUACAGUGGCACACUCUUGACUCCCUGCCACUCUGCCUCCUGGGUUCAAAGGAGAAGGAGGAAGAAGAAGGAAGAAGAAGAAAGAAGAAGAAGAAAGAAGGAGAACGGCUGGGUGCAGUGGCUCACACCUGUAAUCCCAGCACUUUGGGAGGCUGAGGCAGGUGAAUCACAAGAGGCCUGAGUACCUCAGAGAAGCCAAGGUUCCUGCAGGAAGCUUGUGCCUGCUGUCCACAUUGGGCUUUAUUUUAUGAAAAUACAGCAAAGAGCUCAUCAUUUCUCAGCUCCGGUCAGAAGCAACAGUGGCUGUCCUGGACACAGAGCUGCAGACAAGGAGUGGUGAGGAUUCAGGCAAGAGAAGAUGGGCAGAUUCCCCUUCAUGCUUCCCUCUCAGGAAGAAGCCAGAGUGCCUGGGAUCAAAGAGGCUAGGAGGCUGGUGAGGCCUCCUGUCCCUGAAAGCGGUCAGUGAACACGAAAGUUGAAAAGCCUCUGCUUUGAGAGUAGUUCUGCUGCCCUACUGGUGCUGACAGUUUUAGAAGCUGACAUGGCAGAGCUGACCAGGCAGACUAUAUUUUUAGGACUCCGCUGGGGCCUAUUGAAACGUCCACAUUACUCAGAUCACCAAUCUGGCUGGAGCUACCAACACAGCAUUCUUUGCUGUUUUAGAAUACAAAGCUACCUCCCCUCGGGGCUUCACUUUGCAGCCACUGAGAAUCCAAGGCUUGUGCUAAAUUACAUGUUUCCAUGGUCCCACUGGCUCCUCUGCAGGGCUUCCACAAGAAUGGGCUGGGAGGGUAACUGAGUAACUGAGUCAUGAUUAGGAGUUAAUUAAGAGGAGAAAUGAGCUAGCUGUUUCCUAAGAUAAGGGAGGGGAAGUUUUUUUUUUAAACUGUAACUGCUCAGAACAGUAUGUGCUAAGGCAGACUUUCUGUGCUGGGAGACAGAACACUUCUGCAGUGAUGUAGCAGAAUCCUUAAAGGAUCCCGCCAAUGUCUCUUUUUUUCUGGUGUCACAUCCAGUCUUCGCUGAGGCCACCACUUCCUGGAGAUGAAACACAACUUUGAUACAGAGAUGGCAAGUUCACACUCCUACAAUCAUGCAAGGGGUCUCACUCUGUCACCCAGGCUGGACCACAGUGGCAUGAUCACAGCUCAUUGCAGCCUCGACCUCCUGGGCUCAGGUAAUCCUCCUACCUCAGCCUCCCAAGUAACUGGGACCACAGGUGCGUGCCACCAGGCCCAGCUAAUUUUUAAAAAUUAUUAUUAUUAUUAUUUUUUGAGACGGAGUCUCGCUCUGUCACCCAGGCUGGAGUGCAGUGGCACGAUCUCUGCUCACUGCAAGCUCCACCUCCCGGGUUCACGCCAUUCUCCUGCCUCAGCCUCCCGAGUAGCUGGGACUACAGGAGCCCGCCACCACACCUGGCUAAUUUUUUGUAUUUUUUAGUGGAGACGGGGUUUCACCAUGUUAGCCAGGAUGGUCUCGAUCUCCUGACCUCGUGAGCCGCCUGCCUUGGCCUCCCAAAGUGCUGGGAUUACAGGCGUGAGCCACCGCACCCGGCUACAUAACAUUUAAAUAAGCUUUGAAAUAGACAAUAUUUUUCUUUCUUUUUUUUUUUUUUUGAGACAGAAUAUUGCUCUGUUUUCCAGGCUGGAGUGCACUGGCGUGAUCUCGGAUCACUGCAACCUCUCCCUCCCAGGUUCAAGCGAUUCUUCUGCCUCAGCCCCUGCGUAACUGGGACUACAGGUGUGCCACCACGCCCAGCUAAUUUUUGUAUUUUUAGUAGAGGUGGGGUUUCACUAUAUUGGCCAGGCUGGCCUCGAGCUCCUGACCUCAUGAUCCACCCAUCUCGGCCUCCCAAAGUGCUGAGAUUACAGGCGUGAGCCACUGCAUCUGGCCUUUUUUUGUUUGUUUGUUUGUUUGUGAUGGAGUCCUGUUCUGUCACCCAGGCUGGAGUGCAAUGGCUUGAUCUUGGCUCACCACAACCUCUGCCUCCUGGGUUCAAGCGAUUCUCUUACCUCAGCCUCCUGAGUAGCGGGGAUUACAGGCAUGUGCCACCACGCCUGGUUAAUUUUGUGUUUUUAGUAGAGAUGGGGUUUCUCCAUGUUGGUCAGGCUGGUCUUGAACUUCCGACCUCAGGUGAUCUGCCCACCUCAGCCUCUCAAAGUGCUGGGUUUACAGGCAUGAGCCAAGGUGCCCGGCCCAUCUCUUUUUUUUUUGUUUUUUUUUUUUUUUUUUUUUUUUUUUUGAGAUGGAGUCUCGCUCUGUCGCCCAGGCUGGAGUGCAGUGGUGCAAUCUCUGCUUACUGCAAGCUCCGCUUCCCGGGUUCAUGCCAUUCUCCUGCCUCAGCCUCUCCGAGUAGCUGGGACUACAGGCGCCCACCACAACGCCCGGCUAUUUUUUUUUUUUUUUUUUUUUUUGUAUUUUUUAGUAGAGAUGGGGUUUCACCGUGGUCUCGAUCUCCUGACCUCGUGAUCCGCCCGCCUCGGCCUCCCAAAGUGCUGGGAUUACAAGCGUGAGCCACCGCGCCCGGCCCCAUCUCUUUUUUUUGAGACGGAAUCGCGCUCUGUCGCCCAGGCUGGAGUGCAGCGGCGUGAUCUCCGCUCACUACAAGCUCCGCCCCCCGGGUUCAUGCCAUUCUCCUGCCUCAGCCUCCGGAGUAGCUGGGACUACAGGCGCCCGCCACCACACCUGGCUAAUUUUUUUGUAUUUUAAUAGAGAUGGGGUUUCACCGUGUUAGCCAGGAUGGUCUCAAUCUCCUGAUCUCAUGAUCUGCCUGCCUCGGCCUCCUAAAGUGCUGGGAUUACAGGCAUGAGCCACCGCACCCGGCCUCUUUUUUUAAAGGACACUUUUUUUUUUUUUGCAAGAUACCCAAAUAAUGAAAUAUCUAUUAUUUAUUUUAAUAUAACUUUAUAUUCUAAAUUAUGACUGGUUUGUGCACAAGUAUUUAUCCCUUUACAUUUACUUAAUUAUUUUAACUAUUUACCUAGGUUAUUUAUGAAAACUGUGAUAGUCAUGAAUUUAAAGUUAUGAAACCGCCAUUGCAAAAUUAUAACUGAGACAGUGAGAAAAGGUUUGACCUAAUUGACUCCAUCUUGCUCUUUUUUUUUUUUUU